rnacentral:misc_RNA from 1 species
AAUUUAUAUGGCCGUUCCAAGUUGGUAUGUUGCUGUUGAAAAGAUAAAAGGAAAACUGCUGAAGUGUAACGAACAAACAAAAUGGGUUCCUAGUUAUGUUAAGGAAAAACGCUUCCACAAUUGGCUUGAAAAUGCCAGAGAUUGGGCAGUUAGUCGGAGCAGAUUCUGGGGUACCCCUCUUCCAAUUUGGAUUAGCGAGGACGGUGAGGAGAAAAUUGUCAUUGAUUCCGUUGAGAAAUUGGAGAAGCUGUCUGGUGUUAAGGUUACUGAUCUGCAUCGUCAUAAUAUCGAUCAUAUCAAAAUUCCCUCUAGUCG